GACGAACGCUGGCGGCGUGCCUAAUACAUGCAAGUAGAACGCACAGUUUAUACCGUAGCUUGCUACACCAUAGACUGUGAGUUGCGAACGGGUGAGUAACGCGUAGGUAACCUGCCUGGUAGCGGGGGAUAACUAUUGGAAACGAUAGCUAAUACCGCAUAAUAUUGAUUAUUGCAUGAUAAUUGAUUGAAAGAUGCUAUUGCAUCACUACCAGAUGGACCUGCGUUGUAUUAGCUAGUAGGUGAGGUAACGGCUCACCUAGGCGACGAUACAUAGCCGACCUGAGAGGGUGAUCGGCCACACUGGGACUGAGACACGGCCCAGACUCCUACGGGAGGCAGCAGUAGGGAAUCUUCGGCAAUGGACGAAAGUCUGACCGAGCAACGCCGCGUGAGUGAAGAAGGUUUUCGGAUCGUAAAGCUCUGCUGUAAGAGAAGAACGGGUGUGAGAGUGGAAAGUUCACACUGUGACGGUAUCUUACCAGAAAGGGACGGCUAACUACGUG
rnacentral:rRNA from 1 species